AUUGAACGCUGGCGUCAUGCCUAACACAUGCAAGUCGAACGGGGCAGCAAUGACUAGUGGCGGACGGGUGAGGAAUACGUAGGAAUCUGCCCUUAAGUGGGGGGUAACCAGGGGAAACCCUGACUAAUACCGCAUGAUCUCUUCGGAGCAAAGAGGGUGACCGCAAGGCCUCUCGCCUCUGGAUGAGCCUACGUAUGAUUAGCUAGUUGGUAGGGUAAAGGCCUACCAAGGCGACGAUCAGUAACUGGUCUGAGAGGAUGAUCAGUCACACCGGAACUGAGACACGGUCCGGACUCGUACGGGAGGAGGCAGUGGGGAAUAUUGGACAAUGGGCGCAAGCCUGAUCCAGCAAUGCAGCGUGUGGGAAGAAGGCCUUCGGGUUGUAAAGCACUUUAGCCUGGAAAGGAAAAACUUUGGUUAACACCCAAAGUCUUGACGGUACCAGGAGAAUAAGCACCGGCUAACUCUGUGCCAGCAGCCGCAGUAACAC
rnacentral:rRNA from 1 species